rnacentral:rRNA from 1 species
UUUAUGGAGAGUUUGAUCCUGGCUCAGGAUGAACGCUGGCGGCGUGCCUAAUACAUGCAAGUCGAGCGAACGGACGAGAAGCUUGCUUCUCUGAUGUUAGCGGCGGACGGGUGAGUAACACGUGGAUAACCUACCUAUAAGACUGGGAUAACUUCGGGAAACCGGAGCUAAUACCGGAUAAUAUUUUGAACCGCAUGGUUCAAAAGUGAAAGACGGUCUUGCUGUCACUUAUAGAUGGAUCCGCGCUGCAUUAGCUAGUUGGUAAGGUAACGGCUUACCAAGGCAACGAUGCAUAGCCGACCUGAGAGGG